CGCAAUCUGCUAUACAAGAAGGAGAUCACAAAGAACCAAAACUAGAUUGAGAAGAAGGAAAUACUGAUAGCUGUCUAGACUGCUCAUCUCGAAGAGUCACUAAAAUGUGCCUUUCUCUGUCUUCCCGCCGCCCAAGAUGCCAAAAGGAAAGAAGGCCGAGGGGAAGAAGGUGGCUCCGGCCCCUGCUGUCAUGAAGAAGCAGGAGGCUAAGAAAGUGGUGAAUCCCCUAUUUUUAAAAAAGGCUUAAAAAUUUUGGCAUGGGAAAGGCCAUCCAGCCCAAAAGAGACCUCACCCGCUUUGUCAAACGGCCCCGCUAUAUCAGGUUGCAGCGGCAGAGAGCUGUCCUCUACAAGCAGCUGAAAGCGCCUCCUUCAGUGAAGCAAUUCACCCAGGCCCUGGACUGCCAAACGGCCACUCAGCUGCUUAAGCUGGCCCACAAAUACACACCAGAGAGGAAGCAAGAAAAGAAGCAGAGGCUGUCGGCCUGGGCCGAGAAAAACGCGGCUGGCAAAGGGGACAUCCCCACCAAGAGACCACCUGUCCUUCAAGCAGGAGUCAACACCGUCACCACCUUGGUGGAGAACAAGAAAGCUCAGCUGGAGGUGAUUGCAGAUGAUGUGGAUCCCAUUGAGAUGGCUGUUGUCUUGCCUGCCUUGUGUCUUAAAAUGGGAGCCCCUUAUUGCAUCAUUAAGGGGAAGGCAAGACUGGGACAUCUAGUGCACAGGAAGACCUGCACCACUGUCACCUUCACACAUGUUAAGGCAGAAGACAAAGGCGCUUUGGCUAAGCUGGUGGAAGCUACCCACAACAAUUACCGCAACAGAUACGAUGAGAUCCGCCGUCACUGGGGAGGCAAUGUCCUGGGUCCCAAGUCUGUGGCUCGCAUCACAAAGCUUGGAAAGGCAAAGGCUAAACAAAAUGCCAUGAAACUGUUAAUAGAGGUGUCGCAGGGCCACAGAAAUGCAGAGACUACGGGCGACUCCUCCUAUCGGGCCCCAGCAACAUUGCAGGGUUCUCGGGAGGGGAUCAUUGUAGAGAGUGGAAGAUGCUUGGUAAGGUUUGAUACAGUUCUUGCUGUUAGAAACAAUCUGGUAACUUCUGCAGAAGUUACCACAAUGGCCAUUUUGCACAUGUGCAAGUAUAUCUGGAAGGUCACAACUCACACAAUGGAGUGUGUCACCUCCUUGAGCUUCGGAGAAAGCCCUGAGGCUGCAAAUCCACAGGAAUCAGUGUGA